ACCCAGCUGACGAGUCCCAAAUAGGACGAAACGCCCUUCAAACUGGAU
rfam:Schistosoma mansoni strain Puerto Rico chromosome W, complete genome